rnacentral:rRNA from 1 species
AUUGAACACUGGCGGCAGGCCUAACACAUGCAAGUCGAGCGGAUGAAGGGAGCUUGCUCCUGGAUUCAGCGGCGGACGGGUGAGUAAUGCCUAGGAAUCUGCCUGGUAGUGGGGGAUAACGUCCGGAAACGGGCGCUAAUACCGCAUACGUCCUGAGGGAGAAAGUGGGGGAUCUUCGGACCUCACGCUAUCAGAUGAGCCUAGGUCGGAUUAGCUAGUUGGUGGGGUAAAGGCCUACCAAGGCGACGAUCCGUAACUGGUCUGAGAGGAUGAUCAGUCACACUGGAACUGAGACACGGUCCAGACUCCUACGGGAGGCAGCAGUGGGGAAUAUUGGACAAUGGGCGAAAGCCUGAUCCAGCCAUGCCGCGUGUGUGAAGAAGGUCUUCGGAUUGUAAAGCACUUUAAGUUGAGAGGAAGGGCAGUAAGUUAAUACCUUGCUGUUUUGACGUUACCAACAGAAUAAGCACCGGCUAACUUCGUG